CCUGGUAACAACUGUAAACAAAAGGCUGCGGUUAACUGCUCCGCUCCCUGACAGGAUUUUUCGUUCAGUUCGUGCCAAUGAAACAGGAGGCCUCGAUUCAUGCAGAAGAUAAGGUUUGAAACCCAGACAACACGAAGCAUCUUGCCGACGUCAAAAUCAGAUCAACAGACAGGGACAUCAGCCUUCUCUUGGGAAUAGGCCAGAUAUGCCAUAACAAGAAAUGGUGUUUUGCCCCUGCGGUUGUGAAGAGGAUGCUGUGGAGGUGGCAGCAUGAACGUGUCACACAGACAUUGGCUAAACAACUCGAUGACAUUUCCAGCAUGUCCAACUCAUCAGCAUCAGGGGAGAUUCGGUGAAGGUGGUGCACCAUCCAGGACCAGUCAUGGGUCACCAACACCUCUGCAAAAUCUACACUUCUUGUGAACCCUGUAGAAGACACUACAACCACAAAACUGCUAAUAAACCAUCACAUACUGCAUCACA